GGGUUCAUGCUGUAGCAUGUUUAUUUUUCUGCUGUGAUUAAAAAUUCAGCAGGGCUGUGCUGUCUUAUCUAGGGCAGCACCAGUUACACCUCCCCACCUAUCAGUACAUGUGGAAAUAGCUGUCUAGUAAAGCCAAGAAUCAUACUGAGUCUGCAGUAGGUGUAGUGCUGCUCCACUAUGUCUAGGAUAUCAUACACAUAGACAUCUGUUUACAGCUUUGCUUGUCUGUAUUUUCAAUAAAAUGUUUUAAACAUAAUUGUUAUUAGCCUUUAAGUGUCUAAAAGCAUAUUUUUUGUCAUUUGCUGAUUUAGAAAUUAUUACUUUGUAUUGCAGUCAGCAAGAGACAUUAAUGCAUCUAACAACUAUUUCUGAGAUUAUUAGCAAGCUGAUGGCUAGGGUUGUUCAUAUACAGCUGCUGGAUUUGGAUCCUCACAGAUUUCCUCUGAUAGGAGGUUAUUAGUUUUAUGAAAGAUGUGUAAAUUAUUUCCUACUUUGUCAAUUAAUUUGCUUUUAUACACGAGGAAAGAGAAAUGUUUGAUAUAAAAUGAACAACUUCAUGAUUAUUACUGACAGAAGUACACAUUUCAGGUGCUGAGACAUCCUUUACCCAAUGUAUUUAAGAAGCUCCUGAUUAAUCAAAGCGAAGACGAUGUAUCAUUAGCUACAUUUGCUGACAUACAGGCUUCUGUCAUGAAGUUUCUCUUCUCUGAUCUGGUGUUCAAAAUAGCAGCCAUUCUUUCACAUGACCUACUUAAAGUCUGACACAACAAUGCAGUGUGCUCAAAGAGGACAGUAUGUUAUCUCUGCUGGCACAAACAUAUCAAAAUGGCACUCUUGAGGAUGUGGUGUCACCUUCUGGAAAUCUGUAUGGAGACCAAACAUCCUGUGUGCUGGGAAAAUAUAGCAGAUGUCUUCUGAGAAUUUAAGGUGCAUUCUGGGUCAAAUUUAUUCCAAAUUUGCAAGUUGAUUUCUAGGACAAAAGAGUGAUUAAUCUGCCAGAUAUGGUGUAUGGUACCUCAAACAGAACUCUUAAUGGCUUGUAACGUACUCUGUAAGUAAAAGCUAUUAAAAUGAUUUAUGAAGUCUAGCAUCAUAGCCUGACACUGGGAAAGCAUAAUUAAAAGUAACAAAAUUUUAUGUUCAGACAGUUUAUUCAAAUACAUUUUAAAGUCUUUUCAUGAACAGACUGCAUCUGGUCGACUCAGCUUGAGGUAAAUAAGUAAAUGAUUGAGAUUAGCAGUUUGGUGGAUGGAGUCUAGUGGCCUAAGACAUAACUGGAGUCCAACUAGAUUGUCUGAAGCUCUUAUUCUGUUACAAAAUUCUCAAGCUUGUUUUCACUGUAGCAAACAGUCUGAUGUGGAAUGUACCUCCUGUCCCAAUCAAGUUUGGGGUUUUAUAUGAAGUGGAAGGAUGAAAACAUCCUUUGAGGAUGCCUCUGCUGAUACAUGUUCACUUCUUCUUGAUAAAAAUGAUGAAUAAUUCUAAAAAUCAGUAUUACUUUUACUUUUUAACUGGAAAUGAAUAAACACAGAAAAACCUUGUUUCUUCCUAAUCACCAAGGUCACAUUAUUUCUAAUAGUGUUAGACUUAUUAAAAGCAAAAGAAAAAGCUCUGGGAAUAUUAUCACAUUUUAGAUGUUUAUUUUGGCUAAUUUGUGAAAAUUCAUGCAAAGAUUUUGUCAGCUCACUACCUGAAGCAUUGACUCUGAAUUCUUUGAAUAAGGAAUGCACUUUUGGACCUUGUUUAUAUUUUCAGUGAUUAAAACCAUCUGGCAUCUGUUGUCUGAAACAUCCAUAAUAAAUCCCUGUUCUCAGUUGCUUUUUGUUGUUUAGAACCCAUACUAAAUUCAUCACUGGAUUUUAUCUUAGCUUCCUGGGUGCCAGCUGAAACAAUUUUUUUUAAUACUUGUGGCAAAAAUAGUUUAGGUCUCUUGAA